rnacentral:rRNA from 1 species
UACGUAGGGUGCAAGCGUUGUCCGGAAUUAUUGGGCGUAAAGAGCUCGUAGGCGGUCUGUCGCGUCUGCUGUGAAAACUGGGGGCUCAACCCCCAGCCUGCAGUGGGUACGGGCAGACUAGAGUGCGGUAGGGGAGAUUGGAACUCCUGGUGUAGCGGUGGAAUGCGCAGAUAUCAGGAAGAACACCGAUGGCGAAGGCAGAUCUCUGGGCCGUAACUGACGCUGAGGAGCGAAAGCAUGGGGAGCGAACAGG